rnacentral:lncRNA from 1 species
UACAUUGGAAAAUGAAUAUUAAAACAAGAAGAAUUGAGUUAAAAUUAUACAAGUCAUUGUGAAAAAAUCAAAAUCAAAAUUGUGUUGUAGAGGAAGCAAAACUCUAUGUGAUCGUUGUGGAGUUUAUGUAAUCGUGAUUCGUGAAGUUGUAAAGUUUGUUUCUGCAUUUUUGUGUGCACGUGGAUUUUUUGUUUUGUGUGUUUUAUGUUUUCGUGGGUUUGUGUUUUAAAAUUUAAUGUUUCGAGUGUAAGAAUUUUUUUUUUUUUGGCUGUGUAGCCUGUGUUUGUGUUUUGUUUUAUGAGAGGUAAAAGAUAGUUACCGUAACUCAGUUACAUCAUCCAAGAGCCGCUUGCUUGUUCUUGGCUACACCAAGUCAUCUCCAAAUUGAAAUUCUUUGCUGCUCCUAAAAAAAUAAAUAUUUUGUUAUGUAUUUUGAGUUUGAGUAAGAUAAAAUUAAUACAACCAAAUUCUAGCCAAAGGAAUAAACUUACUAAACCAAUAUUCCCAGACGAGGUG